AUUGAACGCUGGCGGCAGGCUUAACACAUGCAAGUCGAGCGAGCGGCGGACGGGUGUGUAAUGUCUGGGAAACUGCCUGAUGGAGGGGGAUAACUACUGGAAACGGUAGCAAAUACCGCAUACCAUCAGAUGUGCCCAUAGGGGAUUAGCUAGUAGGUGGGGUAAGGGCUCCCCUAGGCGACGAUCCCUAGCUGGGCUGAGAGGAUGACCAGCGACACUGGAACUGGGACACGGCCCAGACGCCUACGGGAGGCAGCAGUGGGGAAUAUUGCACAAUGGGCGCAAGCCUGAUGCAGCCAUGCCGCGUGUGUGAAGAAGGCCUUCGGGUUGUAAAGCACUUUCAGCGCGGAGGCGUUACUCGCAGAAGAAGCACCGGCUAACUCCGUGCCAGCAGCCGCGGUAAUAC
rnacentral:rRNA from 1 species